rnacentral:rRNA from 1 species
GUACGCUAUUCAGAGUUUGAUCCUAGGCUCAGAUGAACGCUAGCGACAGGCCUAACACAUGCAAGUCGAGGGCAACAGGGAACAAGCUUGCUUGUUCUGCUGGCGACCGGCGCACGGGUGAGUAACACGUAUGCAACCUGCCCGUCACAGGGGGAUAACCGGGGGAAACCCCGCCUAAUACCCCAUAUUAUAUAGUUAUUGCAUGAUGAUUAUAUGAAAACCUUGGUGGUGACGGAUGGGCAUGCGGUGCAUUAGCUAGUUGGUGAGGUAAUGGCUCACCAAGGCGACGAUGCAUAGGGGUUCUGAGAGGAAGGUCCCCCACACUGGUACUGAGACACGGACCAG